rnacentral:rRNA from 1 species
UACGUAGGGGGCAAGCGUUGUCCGGAUUUAUUGGGCGUAAAGAGCUCGUAGGCGGCUCACUAAGUCGGAUGUGAAAACUCCAGGCUCAACCUGGAGACGCCAUUCGAUACUGGUGUGGCUUGAGUUCGGUAGGGGAGCACGGAAUUCCUGGUGUAGCGGUGAAAUGCGCAGAUAUCAGGAGGAACACCAAUUGCGAAGGCAGCUCGCUGGGACGUUACUGACGCUGAGACGCGAAAGCGUGGGGAGCAAACAGG